rnacentral:tRNA from 1 species
GGCCGCGUAGCCCAACGGAAGAGGCAUCCGGCUCAGACCCGGACCAGUGCAGGUUCGAAUCCUGCCGCGGCUA